rnacentral:sRNA from 1 species
UGACCACCCUUUGGGGUUAAGGCCAUACGGACAGCCGGGUCAACUGCCGA